rnacentral:lncRNA from 10 species
CCGGCCUCACUCCGCGGCCCGCCAGGACCCGGCCCCGGUGAACGGGCUCGGGGUGCCGAGGUCCGGCUGCGGGGCCGGGAAGCCACCUCCACCUUGCCGUCUGUUACGACCCCCGAGGCGCAAGGCUGAGCCCCAUCUCGCUAUCCGGGUCCGGAGGGGUUCACCUUAGAAGGAUUUUUUGAAGCUCUUGGCGCUGGCUCUAAAAGAACCCACUUCCUUGCGGAUUUCAGGAGUCAAGAAUCCUUAAACGGAGCCAAUUUGCUUUGUAAAGCCAAUUGCCCAAGUGACUUGAGUUCGAAAGGAGAUACUUCCUGGACAACUGCUAUAAAAACAACAACAAAUACUUUUAUUAAUUCGGGGAGCCUGGUCACCAACUGGAUGCUCAGAUGGAACCCUGAGCAGCCCAUGUACAUGGAAGAUCUUUAUUGCAGAGAUCUUCAAACCAGGAAACUGAGGCUAAAGAGUUUAGUAUUCUGCCAAGGCCAGCUAAUAGUUACAGAGCAUGGUUCCAAAUUCAGAGCUGUCGGAAGCUUAAGCCCAUGUGAUGAACCACGAAUGUGAUUUUACCUCAUUUAAGCCUUGCAGCAAACUCUGCCAACUAGUGUGCAUUUACUCCUGCCUCUCCAUGCCUGAAGGAAGGAAUGAAGAGGUCUCUGCUGUCCAUCUGAGCCAGUGACUGGGCUGUCUCUACCAGGCCAGAAUUUGGGGCAGGCAAGAUUUUCAGCAUCCCUAAAAUCACACUAAGAAGAUAAACAUGGAAACAGCUUGGAGCUGCCCUACCCAUAGUGAGGUGGUACUGACUGGAAGACAGCUUAAACGAUUUGGAGAAAAGUGGAAUACAUUAAUCUCAGAAAACUCUACCACCUGUAGAAAGAGAGCUAAAAUGGAGACAACCACAGGCAGUCUAAGAUACGCUGAACUACUACAGAAAAUAAUGCAGCAUGAAGGAAUGCUGGAAGGUAUGGGGUCAGAGCAAGCUGAUGGAGGGUCCUUCAUUUCCAAGCCACGAGUACAGCAGGAUGUAAGGCUUAGUUCAUAAGAACAUCUCCUGAAAGACAAUCUCUAUAAAAACUGUUUCAAUAGAAAGAAUGCAAGAUGUAACUGUUUAAUAAUAGGACUGAUAUUUUAAAAAACAAAUGAACGUAAUAGAAGACUAGAUGGAUGUGCUUCUCAAAGUCCUCUCUGUGGGAGGCUUCAUCCUCACUCUAGAUGUGUUGCCUGUAGCAGCUGUUAUUGAUUACCCGCCCAUAGCCUAUCCAUACUUACUCAUCAUUCCUUUACCUACCAGUGGCAUCCUAUUGGAAGCACCUGCGACUUUCUUAGGGCUUUCUCUUGGCCAAGCAUUGGAAGGCCAGCAGUAUUGAAAAGUUAAUAGUCUUGGAAGCACUGGCCCUCAACUAAUGACAAAGAAAAAAUAUAAGAUAAAUUCCCCAGCUUCCUUGCCUCCUGAAUGGGUCAAGUCUGUGGUGUGUUCUACCCGUUUUUCAGAGGUCCCAUGUUUUAAACCCUAGCUGCUCAAGGCAAUUUCCUGAUCAUUGAUGUACUCUCUAUUGGCUAAUUUUUAGAUAAUAUGGAAUAUGCUCAAAAUAGGAUACUCAAAGAAAAAAUCAGAUGCCAAAAUUAUGUACACCGAAUGAGUUCAAUUCUGUAUAAGUGUGGACAUACACACAUCAAAAGAAAUAUGGAACAAAAGAUACUAAAUGUUUAUAGUGGUUAUUUCUGGGUGUUGAAAUUUUAAGUGAUUUUCCUUUUCUUCUUUGUAAUUGUCUCUAUUUUUCAGUUUUUUCAAUAUACCCUGUAUUUCUUUUAAAAUCAGAACAAACCACCAUAAGUUAUUUUAAAAGGCUUAUAAAGCUGAUGAAUAUUUUGUCUUUGUUUCCUUUGUGUUGCCAUAGUCUGAGGGAGUAGUUCUCAAGUGUAGUCUCUGGACCAGCAGCAUCAACAUUACCUGGGAACUUGUUAGAAAUGCAAAUUCUCAGAGGAUGCCUAGGACCUUCUGAAUAAGAAACCCUCGGGGUUGGGGGUGAAGGGGACAGCAAUCGGCAUUUUAAGAAGCUCUCCAG